AGUGGCGGACGGGUGAGUAAUGUCUGGGAAACUGCCCGAUGGAGGGGGAUAACUACUGGAAACGGUAGCUAAUACCGCAUAACGUCGCAAGACCAAAGUGGGGGACCUUCGGGCCUCACACCAUCGGAUGUGCCCAGAUGGGAUUAGCUUGUAGGUGGGGUAAUGGCUCACCUAGGCGACGAUCCCUAGCUGGUCUGAGAGGAUGACCAGCCACACUGGAACUGAAACACGGUCCAAACUCCUACGGGAGGCAGCAGUGGGGAAUAUUGCACAAUGGGCGCAAGCCUGAUGCAGCCAUGCCGCGUGUAUGAAGAAGGCCUUCGGGUUGUAAAGUACUUUCAGCGGGGAGGAAGGCGAUGCGGUUAAUAACCGUGUCGAUUGACGUUACCCGCAGAAGAAGCACCGGCUAACUCCGUGCCAGCAGCCGCGGUAAUACGGAGGGUGCAAGCGUUAAUCGGAAUUACUGGGCGUAAAGCGCACGCAGGCGGUCUGUCAAGUCAGAUGUGAAAUCCCCGGGCUUACCUGGGAACUGCAU
rnacentral:rRNA from 1 species